rnacentral:rRNA from 1 species
UGGGGAAUUUUGGACAAUGGGCGAAAGCCUGAUCCAGCCAUGCCGCGUGCAGGAUGAAGGCCUUCGGGUUGUAAACUGCUUUUUGUACGGAACGAAAAGACUCUGGUUAAUACCUGGGGUCCAUGACGGUACCGUAAGAAUAAGACCGGCUAAUUACGUGCCAGCAGCCGCGGUAAUACGUAGGGUGCAAGCGUUAAUCGGAAUUACUGGGCGUAAAGCGUGCGCAGGCGGUUAUAUAAGACAGAUGUGAAAUCCCCGGGCUCAACCUGGGAACUGCAUUUUGUGACUGUAUAGCUAGAGUACGGGCAGAGGGGGGAUGGAAUUCCGCGUGUAGCAGUGAAAUGCGUAGAUAUGCGGAGGAACACCGAUGGCGAAGGCAAUCCCCUGGGCCUGUACUGACGCUCAUGCACGAAAGCGUGGGGGAGCAAACAGGAUUAGAUACCCUGGUAGUCCACGCCCUAAACGAUGUCAACUGGUUGUUGGGUCUUCACUGACUCAGUAACGAAGCUAACGCGUGAAGUUGACCGCCUGGGGAGUACGGCCGCAAGGUUGAAACUCAAA